rnacentral:lncRNA from 1 species
UUCCUUUUAAUUUUAUUAACUUCAGGAUGUUCAGAUUCUUUGGCUAAUAUUGUAGAAGAUACGCCGGUAGUAGUACUAGGUACACUAAGGUUUUGUAUAGGAGCAUCUUGAGAUAUAGGGAUAUGUGUAUCUCCAAUACUUUGAACGUCUAUUAUGUCUCUAACCACACCUAAUAUAAUUUACAUAAAGAUUAUUUAAGAAACAUAAAUAUCACAAUUCAGAAACAUUAAAAUCAGAAAUAUAAAUUAAUAUCAGAAACAUAAAUUAAUAUAAGAAUAAGAACAUUAAUUUAUGCCAAAAAAAAUUAACAUUACCUUCAUCAUUCCCAUGUACAUUAGACAUUGAGUCUAUUGAAUAAGUAGACUGUUUAGGAAAUGAAAUCUGAAAAUGAAUAAAAAAUUAAAAAUGAAUAUUAGAAACUCUUCUCUUAUCAGAAUGUUCUACUACGAAGUCAACUCUUCUCUUAUCAGAAUCUGAAAAAUUAGCAGUUCUUUAGUUAUUAUUAGCAGACAUCAUAAUACUAAUAGCAUUGAAUAACAAGGAAGUAUAUGUGGAGUUCUACAAGUCCAUGAUAUUAUCGCAGUUAAAUAUUCCUAAUUAUCACCUAUUUUUCGGUUAUUUGAUCUCAGUAAAAUCAGUAUUUUUGCUAAUAUAAAUUCAAAAAAUCAUUUACCUUAAACAGCACGUCCGAGAGAUUGUUGUGUUGGUGUUUCCAUCUUACGCUUAUUCGAUCUGUCCUUACUUGAAUUAGACAUUUUC